rnacentral:rRNA from 1 species
AAAUUGAAGAGUUUGAUCAUGGCUCAGAUUGAACGCUGGCGGCAGGCCUAACACAUGCAAGUCGAACGGUAACAGGAAGCAGCUUGCUGCUUCGCUGACAAGUGGCGGACGGGUGAGUAAUGUCUGGGAAACUGCCUGAUGGAGGGGGAUAACUACUGGAAACGGUAGCUAAUACCGCAUAAUGUCGCAAGACCAAAGAGGGGGAC